AUGAUGUUCUGAGGAUGGGGUAUGAUGAUGUUCUGAGAAUGGGGUAUGAUGAUGUUCUGAGGAUGGGAUAUGAUGAUGUUAUGAUGAUAGGGUAUGAUGUUGUGCUGAUGAUGGGGUCUGAUGAUGUUCUGAUGAUAGGGUAUGAUGGUGUUCUGACGAUGGGGUAUGUUGAUGGGGUAUGAUGAUGUUCUGAUGAUAGGGUAUGAUGAUGUUCUGAUGAUGUUCUGAUGAUAGGGUAUGAUGAUGUUCUGAUGAUAGGGUAUGAUGAUGUUCUGAUGACGUUCUGAUGAUGUUAUGAUGAUAGGGUAUGAUGGUGUUCUGAUGAUGUUCUGAUGAUGGGGUAUGAUGGUGUUCUGAUGAUCUGAUGAUGGGGUAUGAUGAUGUUCUGAUGAUGGGGUAUGAUGGUGUUCUGAUGAUGGGGUAUGAUGGUGUUCUGAUGAUAGGGUAUGAUGGUGUUCUGAUGAUGGGGUAUGAUGAUGAAAAGGGUAUGAUGGUGUUCUGAUGAUGGGGUAUGAUGAUGUUAUGAUGAUAGGGUAUGAUGAUGUUAUGAUGAUAGGGUAUGAUGGUGUUCUGAUUAUAGGGUAUGAUGGUGGGGUAUGAUGAUGGGGUAUGAUGGUGGGGUAUGAUGAUGUUAUGAUGAUAGGGUAUGAUGGUGUUCUGAUGAUAGGGUAUUAUGGUGGGGUAUCAUGAUAGGGUAUGAUGAUGGGGUAUGAUGAUGGGGUAUGAUGAUAGGGUAUGAUGGUGUUCUGAUGAUGUUCUGAUGAUGUUAAGAUGAUGGGGUAUGAUGAUAGGGUAUGAUGAUGUUCUGAUGAUAGGGUAUGAUGAUGUUCUGAUGAUGUUAUGAUGGUGGGGUAUGAUGAUGUUCUGAUGAUAGGGUAUGAUGAUGUUCUGAUGAUGUUCUGAUGAUAGGGUAUGAUGGUGUUCUGAUGAUGGGGUAUGAUGAUGUUCUGAUGAUAGGGUAUGAUGAUGUUCUGAUGAUGUUAUGAUGACAGGGUAUGAUGAUGUUCUGAUGAUGUUAUGAUGAUAGGGUAUGAUGGUGUUCUGAUGAUAGGGUAUGAUGAUGUUCCUAUGAUGUUAUGAUGAUAGGGUAUGAUGGUGUUCUGAUGAUAGGGUAUGAUGAUGUUCCUAUGAUGUUAUGAUGAUAGGGUAUGAUGAUGUUCUGAUGAUGUUAUGAUGAUGGGGUAUGAUGGUGUUCUGAUGAUAGGGUAUGAUGAUGUUCCUAUGAUGUUAUGAUGAUAGGGAAUGAUGAUGUUCUGAUGAUG
ensembl:lncRNA